rnacentral:rRNA from 1 species
GUGCCAGCCGCCGCGGUAAUACGGAGGGCGCAAGCGUUACUCAGAAUCACUGGGCGUAAAGAGUGUGUAGGCGGAUUGAUAAGUCAGAAGUGAAAUCCUAUAGCUUAACUAUAGAACUGCUUUUGAAACUGUUAAUCUAGAGUAUGGGAGAGGUAGAUGGAAUUUCUGGUGUAGGGGUAAAAUCCGUAGAGAUCAGAAGGAAUACCGAUUGCGAAGGCGAUCUACUGGAACAUUACUGACGCUGAGACGCGAAAGCGUGGGGAGCAAACAGGAUUAGAAACCCCAGUAGUCC